rnacentral:rRNA from 1 species
AGUGAACGCUGGCGGUAGGCCUAACACAUGCAAGUCGAACGGCAGCACAGUAAGAGCUUGCUCUUACGGGUGGCGAGUGGCGGACGGGUGAGGAAUACAUCGGAAUCUACUUUUUCGUGGGGGAUAACGUAGGGAAACUUACGCUAAUACCGCAUACGACCUACGGGUGAAAGCAGGGGAUCUUCGGACCUUGCGCGAUUGAAUGAGCCGAUGUCGGAUUAGCUAGUUGGCGGGGUAAAGGCCCACCCAGGCGACGAUCCGUAGCUGGUCUGAGAGGAUGGUCAGCCACACUGGAACUGGGACACGGUCCAGACUCCUACGGGAGGCAGCAGUGGGGAAUAUUGGACAAUGGGCGCAAGCCUGGUCCAGCCAUACCGCGUGGGUGAAGAAGGCCUUCGGGUUGUAAAGCCCUUUUGUUGGGAAAGAAAAGCAGCAGGUUAAUACCCCGCUGUUCUGACGGUACCCAAAGAAUAAGCACCGGCUAACUUCGUG